AGCUAUUUCAGCUCCUUUAGAAUUUUUCUUGCAGGUUUUUUGACUUUGUUUGGAAAAUCCAA
ensembl:snRNA Gm26482 U7 small nuclear RNA